AUCUAUAGCCACACCACCCUAUACGUGUCCGAUCUCAUCUGAUCUCGAAGCUAAGCAGGGUCAGGCCUGGUUAGUACUUGGGUAGGAGACUAUUAGUGGAGCAAAGACAUCCUUUGACU
ensembl:rRNA 5S_rRNA 5S ribosomal RNA